AACGUAGGGGACAAGCGUUAUCCGGAUUUACUAGGCGUAAAGCGCCCGUAGGCGGCUUUUUAAGUUGGACGUGAAAGCUCCCGGCUUAACUGGGAGAGGCCGUUCAAAACUGAGAGGCUAGAGUGAGGCAGAGGAGCGCGGAAUUCCCGGUGUAGUGGUGGAAUGCGUAGAUAUCGGGAAGAACACCCGUGGCGAAGGCGGUUCUCUGGGACGGUACUGACGCUGAGACGCGAAAGCGUGGGGAGCGAACAGG
rnacentral:rRNA from 1 species